ACGGGAGGCAGCAGUGGGGAAUAUUGCACAAUGGGGGAAACCCUGAUGCAGCGACGCCGCGUGAGUGAAGAAGUAUUUCGGUAUGUAAAGCUCUAUCAGCAGGGAAGAUGAUGACGGUACCUGACUAAGAAGCCCCGGCUAACUACGUGCCAGCAGCCGCGGUAAUACGUAGGGGGCAAGCGUUAUCCGGAUUUACUGGGUGUAAAGGGAGCGUAGGCGGCGAUGCAAGUCAGAGGUGAAAACCCGGGGCUCAACUCCGAGGACUGCCUUUGAAACUGCGUUGCUAGAGUGCAGGAGAGGCAAGCGGAAUUCCUAGUGUAGCGGUGAAAUGCGUAGAUAUUAGGAAGAACACCGGUGGCGAAGGCGGCUUGCUGGACUGAGACUGACGCUGAGGCUCGAAAGCGUGGGGAGCAAACAGGAUUAGAUACCCUGGUA
rnacentral:rRNA from 1 species